UACGUAGGUGGCAAGCGUUGUCCGGAUUUACUGGGCGUAAAGAGCGCGCAGGCGGUCGUUCAAGUCGCGUGUGAAAGCCCCCGGCUCAACUGGGGAGGGUCACGCGAUACUGAUCGACUCGAAGGCAGGAGAGGGUAGUGGAAUUCCCGGUGUAGUGGUGAAAUGCGUAGAUAUCGGGAGGAACACCUGCGGCGAAGGCGGGUAGCUGGGCCGACACUGACGCUGAUGCGCGAAAGCCAGGGGAGCGAACGGG
rnacentral:rRNA from 1 species